UGCGGAGGGAUCAUUACACAACAAAAUAUGAAGGCCUGGCUUUCGCGGCCGGCUGAAGUAUUUUUUUCACCCAUGUCUUUUGCGCACUUGUUGUUUCCUGGGCGGGUUCGCCCGCCACCAGGACCAAACCAUAAACCUUUUUUUCUUAUGCAGUUUCCAUCAGCGUCAGUAAAAACAAUGUAAUUAUUACAACUUUCAACAACGGAUCUCUUGGUUCUGGCAUCGAUGAAGAACGCAGCGAAAUGCGAUACGUAGUGUGAAUUGCAGAAUUCAGUGAAUCAUCGAAUCUUUGAACGCACAUUGCGCCCUUUGGUAUUCCAAAGGGCAUGCCUGUUCGAGCGUCAUUUGUACCUUCAAGCUUUGCUUGGUGUUGGGCGUUUUUUUGUCUCCCUCUUUCUGGGAGACUCGCCUUAAAACGAUUGGCAGCCGGCCUACUGGUUUCGGAGCGCAGCACAUUUUUUGCGCUUUGUAUCAGGAGAAAAGGACGGUACUCCAUCAAGACUCUACAUUUUUCACUUUUGACCUCGGAUCAGGUAGGGAUACCCGCUGAACUUAAGCAUAU
rnacentral:rRNA from 1 species